UCAGAUCUGGAGACUAACCCUUCUCAUCUCUGGAUGUCAUUUUCUUUCCUACUGGAGACAAAACAUCCUCUCCUUUCUCAGGACUGUUUAAUGGUUUUUCCCUUCAUUGCUGCUUUGUGACCUUCGGUUAAGAGAAUAAAGUUCCCAGACGUCAUGAACUGAUCCAGGGGCAGUGAAAGAAAAAGGAAAAAGAGAAGGAGGGACAGAAAGUGAAACAGAGUGAAGAGAGCAACCACUGUAAACACUCUGUUGUUUCAAUAUUAUUGCCUGUUUUUGACUCAGUUUUCCCCAGUUUUGGGAAAGGAGGGCUGAGAAAUGAGAGGCUGGGGAGAUGAAGAAGCUGAGAAUAAGUGAAACUAAAUGAAUCCUCCAAAAUCGCAUAGUGAAUAAAUUACUCUCCAGAUACUUGCUCUUGGAAUCCAGUCGCCAUGCUCUGAGGAAGUCCAAGCAUCCACACAGACAGCCAGUGUUGUUGCUUUCCAACCAGAAGUCCCAGCUAAGGUCCCAGUCAGCUGCAAUCUACACAAAUGCAGGAGCCUUUAGAUGAUUCCAGUUCUCAGUCAGUGAGUCAUCUCAAGCUUUGGAAUCAUGCUUAACUGAAGUCUCACUGUGGGACAGAGAAAAGCGAAGACCACUAUAUGUUUUGAGAAUUCUUGACCCACAGAGUAAGUGAGCAUAUUUAUAAUCAUUUUUGUUUUCAACCACUGAGCUUAUGGUGGAUUAUUACAUAGUAAUGGAAAAUGAAACACUUAAAGUGAACUCAUUUAUCACUUGAAAUACUGUAAUUUGUUUUCAUUCUGUCACCCUUUCUUUAUUUGACUACAUACAGUCUGUUCUGGAUGAAACAAAGGCAGUAACUUCUUAAGACCUCAGCAUUAUAACAUGUCAACUAUAUGAAAAUAUGCAGAAUUAUAAAGUGAAUAACCCUAUGCACAU